GACAGAGGGUGCAAACGUUGUUCGGAUUUACUGGGCGUAAAGCGCGUGUAGGCGGCUUUGCAAGUCGGAUGUGAAAGCCCACGGCUUAACCUGGGAACUGCAUCCGAAACUACAAGUCUUGAAUGCUUCAGAGGUUGGUAGAAUUCCAGGUGUAGGAGUGAAAUCCGUAGAUAUAUGGAGGAAUACCGGAGGCGAAGGCGGCCAACUGGGAAUGCAUUGACACUGAGGUGCGAAAGCGUGGGGAGCAAACAGG
rnacentral:rRNA from 1 species